rnacentral:rRNA from 1 species
GAUGAACGCUGGCGGCGUGCCUAAUACAUGCAAGUCGAGCGAACAGACGAGGAGCUUGCUCCUCUGACGUUAGCGGCGGACGGGUGAGUAACACGUGGAUAACCUACCUAUAAGACUGGGAUAACUUCGGGAAACCGGAGCUAAUACCGGAUAAUAUAUUGAACCGCAUGGUUCAAUAGUGAAAGACGGUUUUGCUGUCACUUAUAGAUGGAUCCGCGCCGCAUUAGCUAGUUGGUAAGGUAACGGCUUACCAAGGCGACGAUGCGUAGCCGACCUGAGAGAGUGAUCGGCGACACUGGGACUGGGACACGGUCCAGACUCCUACGGGAGGCAGGAGUAGGGAAUCUCCCGCAAUAGGCGAAAGCCUGACGGAGCAACGCCGCGUGGGUGAUGAAGGUCUUCGGGUCGUAAAACUCUGUUAUUAGGGAACAACAAAUGUGUAAGUAACUAUACACGUCUUGACGGUACCUGAUCAGUAAGCCACGGCUAACUCCGUG